rnacentral:rRNA from 1 species
GACGAACGCUGGCGGCGUGCUUAACACAUGCAAGUGGAACGGAAAGGCCCUGCUUUUGUGGGGUGCUCGAGUGGCGAACGGGUGAGUAACACGUGAGUAACCUGCCCUUGACUUUGGGAUAACUUCAGGAAACUGGGGCUAAUACCGGAUAGGAGCUCCUGCUGCAUGGUGGGGGUUGGAAAGUUUCGGCGGUUGGGGAUGGGCUCGCGGCUUAUCAGCUUGUUGGUGGGGUAGUGGCUUACCAAGGCUUUGACGGGUAGCCGGCCUGAGAGGGUGACCGGCCACAUUGGGACUGAGAUACGGCCCAGACUCCUACGGGAGGCAGCAGUGGGGAAUAUUGCACAAUGGGCGGAAGCCUGAUGCAGCAACGCCGCGUGCGGGAUGACGGCCUUCGGGUUGUAAACCGCUUUCGCCUGUGACGAAGCGUGAGUGACGGUAAUGGGUAAAGAAGCACCGGCUAACUACGUG